CCUACGGGUGGCAGCAGUGAGGAAUAUUGGUCAAUGGGCGGAAGCCUGAACCAGCCAAGUCGCGUGAGGGAAUAAGGCCCUACGGGUCGUAAACCUCUUUUGCCGGGGAGCAAGUGCGGGGACGUGUCCCGGCCCGGAGAGUACCAGGAGAAAAAGCAUCGGCUAACUCCGUACCAGCAGGCGCGGUAAUACGGAGGAUGAGAGCGUUAUCCGGAGUUAUUGGGUUUAAAGGGUGCGUAGGCGGGAUUUUAAGUCAGUGGUAAAUAUUCGGGGCUCAACCCUGGCCGGCCGUUGAAACCGGGGGCCUUGAGGGGGCGAGAAGAAGGUGGAAGGCGUGGUGUAGCGGUGAAAUGCAUAGAGAUCACGCAGAACCCCGAUUGCGAAGGCAGCCUUCCGGCGCCCUACUGACGCUGAGGCACGAAAGUGCGGGGAUCGAACAGGAUUAGAUACCCUAGUAGUC
rnacentral:rRNA from 1 species